AUUCUUGAAGUGUAAGUUGCACGUCAGGUUUUCAUCCUGAAAGCAUAAAGAAAAUUUAUCUAGAAUA
rnacentral:tRNA from 1 species